rnacentral:lncRNA from 10 species
AGCUGCCGCGGAUCAGGGCGGACGUGACGCCUUAGCGUGGUCCUCAGACCUCGCUGUGCCCGGGGUGGGGCGUGUCGGCUGCUACCGAGAACCUGCUCGGGGGACGCGUCCGUCAACCGGAAUCCAGGGGACAGAAGCUUCCGACGCGCGAGGCCUCGGGAGGAGCGUCUCCUUGGUAACUCUCCUCCGGUCGCAAGACCUGGAAGUGGCCUCAGGGGGUCGCCCUUCCUGUCCGUCGUGGAUGAAGGGGACCACUUGGCUUCAGAAAUCCCCGCUGGCCUCCGCCUCCCCUGGGGUUUCCCUUUCGGCGCAGGCGGGGCAGCGGCGUCAUCACAACCAUCGCCACCCCAGUAAUCACAGCGAGCGGCCCUUUGCGCACGCGUGGAGCCUUCUCAGGCCUCAGUACUUCUCACUUCGCCCGGCAAGGCUGGCCAGGAGGGGUGCAUUCUCCCUUUCCGCGUAUUUCAAGACCACUCCCCUUCUGCAUGCUCGGUGUCCCAGUCUGUCUCCUCGCUGCCUCCCGAGGCCUGGAACUGAAGCAAAGUUCGCCCCGAAGCCGACCGUUCUUUGAAGUUGAAAUCCUCAAAAAGCCUGCAGACUGAAUAGCGCUGUACUGGGCACGCGCAUUGCGCUUCCAGCCGCCCUUGGGUGCUGCGUGCUGGGCCGGGUCGGGUUGGGGCCUUCCUACAUACUCUUGCGACCAUUAGGCUCUUCUUGGGUGAGUUGCAAGUUAAAAUUACCAGGGCUCUCUGAACAUGGACCUUGGUGCUUUUUUUCUCUCUCCCUCUUCCGUGUUCUUUUUCAAACGCAUCUUCUCCCUUAUUAGAUUCAGAGAAGCCAGACAGGGCAGGCAGGGGUCCUCAGAUGUGCAGUCUGCAGGGCCUGAGGUUGUACACCAGGGCAGUGGAAAAGCAGCUAGGACUUGGACUUUCACAGUUACAUCGACAUUCUCCUCUUCCGGAUGGCACAUGCCCCCUCAAUCUGACCUGAAGUCCCUUCCUCCUGGCCCCCUCUUCCUUCCACGUAGAACCCCUGGAACUGUCAUUCUUGCUGCCUCCUGCUUACGUGGAGAGCCCUGUGUCCCUUUCACAUCUCCAUCUACCAGUCAGGCUCUUGGGCAGCAGCGUACCUGACUUAGGGCCUGUACCACAAGUCGUUUCUAUCAGGCUGAAUAGAGCCACCGUUUUUUGUGUG